GAUGAAUGCUGGCGGCGUGCCUAACACAUGCAAGUCGAGCGGCAGCGCGGUCUUCGGACCGGCGGCGAGCGGCGGACGGCUGAGUAACGCGUGGGAACAUACCCCAAAGUGAGGGAUAACCGCCCGAAAGGGUGGCUAAUACCGCAUAUGGUCUUCGGAUUAAAGGAUUUAUCCGCUUUGGGAAUGGCCUGCGUACGAUUAGACAGUUGGUGGGGUAAAGGCCUACCAAGUCUACGAUCGUUAACUGGUCUGAGAGGAUGAUCAGUCAGACUGGAACUGAGACACGGUCCAGACUCCUACGGGAGGCAGCAGUGAGGAAUCUUCCACAAUGGGCGAAAGCCUGAUGGAGCAACGCCGCGUGCAGGAUGAAGGCCUUCGGGUCGUAAACUGCUUUUAUGAGUGAAGAAUAUGACGGUAACUCAUGAAUAAGCACCGGCUAACUACGUGCCAGCCGCCGCCGUAA
rnacentral:rRNA from 1 species